ACAGUAUUACUUGCAUAAUCAAAGACUAAAAUGACUUGAAUGGUGCUACUACAUGGGAUUUUCCCAAGAGAUUCCCUAAAGCCUUAAGCUGAGUGAAGAGAUGAGACUGAAGUUAAGAUCUGCAAUCCAGUUUUACUGCUGAUGAGAAGAAGAGUAUAAGAUGCAACCAGGAAGCUUUAGGGUAAUAGAUCACUGUGUAAAGACAAGUUAAAAUUUCUGCUUUCCUUGGAGACCAGAGUGUGAAUGCUUGGGUGAAAACUGAGCAUGGAAGCCAGUUCACGGGAGAAAUGAUGGGAGUUACAACUUGCAUUAUUUCUUGCUAAUAAAAAUAUCAUGUA